UUGCUAGUCUCGCUACGUCGUCA
rnacentral:siRNA from 1 species